rnacentral:rRNA from 1 species
AUUGAACGCUGGCGGCAUGCCUUACACAUGCAAGUCGAACGGCAGCACGGGUGCUUGCACCUGGUGGCGAGUGGCGAACGGGUGAGUAAUACAUCGGAACAUGUCCUGUAGUGGGGGAUAGCCCGGCGAAAGCCGGAUUAAUACCGCAUACGAUCUACGGAUGAAAGCGGGGACCUUCCGGCCUCGCCCUAUAGGGUUGGCCGAUGGCUGAUUAGCUAGUUGGUGGGGUAAAGGCCUACCAAGGCGACGAUCAGUAGCUGGUCUGAGAGGACGACCAGCCACACUGGGACUGAGACACGGCCCAGACUCCUACGGGAGGCAGCAGUGGGGAAUUUUGGACAAUGGGCGAAAGCCUGAUCCAGCAAUGCCGCGUGUGUGAAGAAGGCCUUCGGGUUGUAAAGCACUUUUGUCCGGAAAGAAAUCCUUGGCCCUAAUACGGUCGGGGGAUGACGGUACCGGAAGAAUAAGCACCGGCUAACUACGUG